AGCGACUGUCCAGGGAGCUGGACCAGUUCGCCAAGCAGCUGACUCUGAGCAACACUACAUUCUCCGCCCUUGGAGUCUACACUCUGGACCGGAAGCUCUCAGCAGCGAUUCUCGGUGGCGUCACAACGUACAUGGUUCUUAUUAUACAGUUUCAAUCGAUUUCAAGUAAUUAAUGUAUUGUUUUUAAUUUUGAUUAUAAGUCUUGAGCAAAUAAUUAAUUAAAUUUCGUUUUUAAAACCA